rnacentral:rRNA from 1 species
UCGGCGGACGGGUGAGUAACACGUGGGUAACCUGCCCAUAAGACUGGGAUAACUCCGGGAAACCGGGGCUAAUACCGGAUAACAUUUUGAACCGCAUGGUUCGAAAUUGAAAGGCGGCUUCGGCUGUCACUUAUGGAUGGACCCGCGUCGCAUUAGCUAGUUGGUGAGGUAACGGCUCACCAAGGCAACGAUGCGUAGCCGACCUGAGAGGGUGAUCGGCCACACUGGGACUGAGACACGGCCCAGACUCCUACGGGAGGCAGCAGUAGGGAAUCUUCCGCAAUGGACGAAAGUCUGACGGAGCAACGCCGCGUGAGUGAUGAAGGCUUUCGGGUCGUAAAACUCUGUUGUUAGGGAAGAACAAGUGCUAGUUGAAUAAGCUGGCACCUUGACGGUACCUAACCAGAAAGCCACGGCUAACUA